UGCUCAGGACGAACGCUGGCGGCGUGCCUAAUACAUGCAAGUCGAACGCUUCUUUUUCCACCGGAGCUUGCUCCACCGGAAAAAGAGGAGUGGCGAACGGGUGAGUAACACGUGGGUAACCUGCCCAUCAGAAGGGGAUAACACUUGGAAACAGGUGCUAAUACCGUAUAACAAUCGAAACCGCAUGGUUUUGAUUUGAAAGGCGCUUUCGGGUGUCGCUGAUGGAUGGACCCGCGGUGCAUUAGCUAGUUGGUGAGGUAACGGCUCACCAAGGCGACGAUGCAUAGCCGACCUGAGAGGGUGAUCGGCCACAUUGGGACUGAGACACGGCCCAAACUCCUACGGGAGGCAGCAGUAGGGAAUCUUCGGCAAUGGACGAAAGUCUGACCGAGCAACGCCGCGUGAGUGAAGAAGGUUUUCGGAUCGUAAAACUCUGUUGUUAGAGAAGAACAAGGAUGAGAGUAACUGUUCAUCCCUUGACGGUAUCUAACCAGAAAGCCACGGCUAACUACGUGCCAGCAGCCGCGGUAAUACGUAGGUGGCAAGCGUUGUCCGGAUUUAUUGGGCGUAAAGCGAGCGCAGGCGGUUUCUUAAGUCUGAUGUGAAAGCCCCCGGCUCAACCGGGGAGGGUCAUUGGAAACUGGGAGACUUGAGUGCAGAAGAGGAGAGUGGAAUUCCAUGUGUAGCGGUGAAAUGCGUAGAUAUAUGGAGGAACACCAGUGGCGAAGGCGGCUCUCUGGUCUGUAACUGACGCUGAGGCUCGAAAGCGUGGGGAGCAAACAGGAUUAGAUACCCUGGUAGUCCACGCCGUAAACGAUGAGUGCUAAGUGUUGGAGGGUUUCCGCCCUUCAGUGCUGCAGCUAACGC
rnacentral:rRNA from 1 species